CCUGCUCAGAACGAACGCUGGCGGCGUGCCUAACACAUGCUAGUCGUACGAGAAAUCCUGGGCAACUGGGAGAGUAAACUGGCGGACGGGUGAGUAACGCGUAGGCAACCUGCCCUUGUGAUUGGGAUAAUCCAGCGAAAGUUGGACUAAUACCGAAUGAGGUUUUGGCAACGCCUGUUGCCGAGAUUAAAGAUGUUCCGUUUCGGCGGGAUAUUGCACAGGGAUGGGCCUGCGUUCCAUUAGCCAGAUGGUGAGGUAACGGCUCACCAUAGCGACGAUGGAUAGCUGAUCUGAGAGGGUGAUCAGCCACACUGGGACUGAGAUACGGCCCAGACUCCUACGGGAGGCAGCAGUGAGGAAUAUUGCGCAAUGGGCGAAAGCCUGACGCAGCAACGCCGCGUGGGGGAUGAAGCACUAUGGUGUGUAAACCCCUGUAGGUAGGGAAGAAAGACAUGAUUUCGUAAGGAAUGAUGCUUGACGGACCUCAAAGAAGCC
rnacentral:rRNA from 1 species